AGGCAGAAGUUUAAACCAACCCUUCAAGGUCUGUUUUUGAGGAUAGUAUUGGUAACUAAACCAGGUUAUGAUAGGGAGAGGUUUAAACCAACCCUUCAAGGUCUGUUUUUGAGGGUAGUAUCGGUAACUAAACCAGGCAGGAGUUUAAACCCUUCAAGGUCUGUGAAUAUUGCCGUCUGUCAUGCCGGAGAACAAACCAUUUCUGCUAAUGUUGAAGAUGACUGCCAUUUAUUAAAAAACAAUAUCAAUCUUGUUAUUUUGCAUCUUUGCCAUGUAACCUAUGAAAUAAAUACACUGUAUCCUA